UACGUAGGGUGCGAGCGUUAAUCGGAAUUACUGGGCGUAAAGCGUGCGCAGGCGGUUUUGUAAGCCAGAUGUGAAAUCCCCGGGCUUAACCGGGGAAUGGCAUUUGGGACUGCAAGGCUGGAGUGCGGCAGAGGAGACUGGAAUUCCUGGUGUAGCAGUGAAAUGCGUAGAUAUCAGGAGGAAUACCGAUGGCGAAGGCAGGUCUCUGGGCUGACACUGACGCUCAUGCACGAAAGCGUGGGGAGCAAACAGG
rnacentral:rRNA from 1 species